GAACGCCUGUAGCAAUACAGGAGUGGCAGACGGGUGAGUAACACGUAGGAAUCUACCCAGUAGCUCGGAAUAACCGCGGGAAACUGCGGCUAAUACCGAAUGCGCCCCACGGGGGAAAGGAGCAAUCCACUAUUGGAGGAGCCUGCGUCCGAUUAGCUAGUUGGCGGGGUAACGGCCCACCAAGGCGACGAUCGGUAGCUGGUUUGAGAGAACGACCAGCCACACUGGGACUGAGACACGGCCCAGACUCCUACGGGAGGCAGCAGUGGGGAAUAUUGGACAAUGGGGAAACCCUGAUCCAGCAAUGCCGCGUGGGUGAUGAAGGCCUUCGGGUUGUAAAGCCCUUUUGGCGGGGACGAUGAUGACGGUACCCGCAGAAGAAGCCCCGGCUAACUUCGUG
rnacentral:rRNA from 1 species